rnacentral:piRNA from 1 species
AUACCUGUCUAACUGGAAAUUUGAUGUUCAA